ACGGCCCCUGAACGCAUUACCAGUUUCAAGUCGAGCGGAACGAUCCUAGCUUGCUAGGAGGCGUCGAGCGGCGGACGGGUGAGUAAUGCAUAGGAAUCUGCCCGGUAGUGGGGGAUAACCUGAGGAAACUCAGGCUAAUACCGCAUACGUCCUACGGGAGAAAGCAGGGGCUCUUCGGACCUUGCGCUAUCGGAUGAGCUUAUGUCGGAUUAGCUGGUUGGUGAGGUAACGGCUCACCAAGGCGACGAUCCGUAGCUGGUCUGAGAGGAUGAUCAGCCACAUCGGGACUGAGACACGGCCCGAACUCCUACGGGAGGCAGCAGUGGGGAAUAUUGGACAAUGGGGGCAACCCUGAUCCAGCCAUGCCGCGUGUGUGAAGAAGGCCCUCGGGUUGUAAAGCACUUUCAGUGAGGAAGAAGGCUUGUCGGUUAAUACCCGGCAAGAAAGACAUCACUCACAGAAGAAGCACCGGCUAACUCCGUGCCAGCAGCCGCGGUAAUACGGAGGGUGCGAGCGUUAAUCGGAAUACUGGGCGUAAAGCGUGCGUAGGCGGCUUGAUAAGCCGGUUGUGAAAGCCCCGGGCUCAACCUGGGAACGGCAUCCGGAACUGUCAGGCUAGAGUGCAGGAGAGGAAGGUAGAAUUCCCGGUGUAGCGGUGAAAUGCGUAGAGAUCGGGAGGAAUACCAGUGGCGAAGGCGGCCUUCUGGACUGACACUGACGCUGAGGUACGAAAGCGUGGGUAGCAAACAGGAUUAGAUACCCUGGUAGUCCACGCCGUAAACGAUGUCGACUAGCCGUUGGGGUCCUCGAGACCUUUGUGGCGCAGUUAACGCACUAAGUCGACCGCCUGGGGAGUACGGCCGCAAGGUUAAAACUCAAAUGAAUUGACGGGGGCCCGCACAAGCGGUGGAGCAUGUGGUUUAAUUCGAUGCAACGCGAAGAACCUUACCUACCCUUGACAUCGUGCGAACUUGGUAGAGAUACCUUGGUGCCUUCGGGAACGCACAGACAGGUGCUGCAUGGCUGUCGUCAGCUCGUGUUGUGAAAUGUUGGGUUAAGUCCCGUAACGAGCGCAACCCUUGUCCCUAUUUGCCAGCGAUUCGGUCGGGAACUCUAGGGAGACUGCCGGUGACAAACCGGAGGAAGGUGGGGACGACGUCAAGUCAUCAUGGCCCUUACGGGUAGGGCUACACACGUGCUACAAUGGCCGGUACAAUGGGUUGCAAAGCGGCGACGUGGAGCUAAUCCCAUAAAGCCGGUCUCAGUCCGGAUCGGAGUCUGCAACUCGACUCCGUGAAGUCGGAAUCGCUAGUAAUCGUGCAUCAGAAUGGCACGGUGAAUACGUUCCCGGGCCUUGUACACACCGCCCGUCACACCAUGGGAGUGGACUGCACCAGAAGUGGUUAGCCUAACUUCGGAGGGCGAACAACUAAGAAAUAAGAAUGC
rnacentral:rRNA from 1 species